rnacentral:lncRNA from 1 species
CCCCACGAGAAAAUUAAAAUAAGGGAAUUGGAGCACACAGGCUAGGGCUUUUGCUCUUCCUAAUUGUUGUUUUGAAUCUCUUUUUCUAUAUAGUCUGUAUUUAACAGAACAUGUGAAAAGUAAAAGCGCAAGAGCUCGGGCUCGGACCUACUCCCUACAGGAAAACAAACAAGCUAGUCACAAACAGUCAGAGCUAGGGGCAUAGUUUGUUAUUCUACUGCAAGCUAUGACAUAUAUUAUCCGUCUCUUCUCUCGGCUCUCUCUGUUUUCUGCUUGCUUUUCAACCCUUGCCACACUCUAUUUUUAAGUAUAAGGUGCGCUUUACACUCCUAUAAUCUGAUUAGGUCUCCUAACCUAUUUGGGAUAGGAAAGCACACUUACAUUCCUAUUUCAUUUCUGCUUUUAGGAUUCUAAUCUAAUUGUACAAGAAAACUUAUUCUCUCCUAAUCCUUGUAGGACAAGAAUGGGUGCACCUUAGAUUUCCUAUAAUCCUAAACAAAAUAGGACUAUAACGAAAGACGAACCAAAUCCUAACAAAAAUGACGUACUAAGUAAGGUGAUAGUGACUGACCAACUAGAGUGGGUUAAGUUUUAAGUGAUGAGAACCUGAAAGUUUGGUUGGUUGGAAACUUAGAGGGCGAACCUAGAUUGAGGCCCUUGCAAAAUCCAAAAUGAAUUUUUGGCAACUGAAAUUAUUGCUUUUGUUUUUAAGUUUAAAUAGAAACCCCACGAGAAAAUUAAAAUAAGGGAAUUGGAGCACAGAGGCUAGGGCUUUUGCUCUUCCUAAUUGUUGUUUUGAAUCUAUUUUUCUAUAGUCUGUAUUUAACAGAACAUGCGAAAAGUAAAAGCGCAAGAGCUCGGGCUCGGACCUACUCCCUACAGGAAAACAAACAAGCUAGUCACAAACCGCUGGAGCUAGGGGCAUAGUUUGUUAUUCUACUGCAAGCUAUGAUAUAUAUUAUAUAAGUACAUGAGAAAAAUAAAAUUGGGGGCCCUCCAAAACUGGAGCUGGGGGCCCUCCAAAACUGGAGCCUACACAAUGGCACCAUAACCAUGCGUAUGAUUUUAUUCUCGGACAAACAAGUACAGAAUCUAUCUUGUUACUUAAGGAACUCGUGAAAUAGCUCAAAAGGGAAAAAGGAAUGAUCUUAUGUUGUCAUAGAACUCCGGCAGUCAUUUCUUAACAUUGAAUGCACUGCGUUGAACCAAUUGGCAUUUUCCAUGAUUUUAUACCAGAUGCUAGAUUAUGAGGGCUUGAGAAAUCUUCAUAACAAGCUAUAGAAUUUUCCCUACGAAGUGACAUUGUUUAUACUCAUACAAGAUAGUCUACACUGCAACCUACGGGAAGAGGACAAUCCGAUGCUUAAAUAAUGGAUUAGGUAUAGGUGAAAAUUAAGCGAUUAUCUAGGAUAAGGAUGUUUGGCAUCAAACAGAAUUGCAAUGCAUCUCAUAAAUCCACGUCACUAUUGGAUUUAAGAUGUCCAAAGUCCAUGUUUAGGGCCUAAAUAAUGCUUUUGUCAUGACUACAGGCAAAUGAUGGGAGAAGAGCUUUCUGGUCUAAAUGUGAAAGACUUACAGAAUCUAGAGAACCAAUUGGAAAUGAGUCUUCGGAGUGUCCGAAUAAAAAAGGUACGAGCAGUCACUCAAUUUCUGAAAAUCAUCUAUUUACGUAAUGUCUUCCAUGGUGCUAAAUCACUUUUGACUUCUGUAGGACCAACUUUUAAUGGAUGAAAUAGAAGAACUAAACCGAAAGGUUAAAAUCUUGCAAAACUUUGGUACUACUUUUCAGUUUUUUCCUCUUUAUUACUUAAGGAGCUAAAUGUUAAAGUCUGUGUGCAGGGGAACCUCAUUCACCAAGAAAAUAUAGAACUGUAUAAGAAGGUAAACCUAAUUCGUCAAGAAAACAUGGAGUUAUCUAAGAAGGUACUGGUUUUGAAACUAAAUAAACUUCAACUAUCCAAGAGUAAUAAAAAUCUAUAAUCCAACCUAUAAAAAAUUGCAACAUUUUUUCCGCAACACCUUAACAGAAGUUUCACAUCCCAGGUUUAUGGAACAAGGAAUGUAAACGAAGCAAAUCGAAACACUCUUCUGACAAAUGGUCAAGGUAUUGAAGAGGACUCAAAUGGACCUGUCCGUCUCCAGCUUAGCCAGCCACAGCAGCAAAGCUACGAGCCACCAGCAAGGGCAACAAAUCUGGGGUAUACCUUCUUCCUAAAACUACACUGUCCAUUAUGAUUACCACUUUCAAUUUUCCAUUUAUUGAUCAAACUGUUUUAUGAUGACUACAGCAGACUACAAUUACACUAGCAAAGAAGAUGCAUCAUAUUAGGAUAAUGUUAUUUUAUUUCUCAAGAACAAGGCUGAUGGAUUCAAAUUCAUGUUCUAUCACACUAGUGGUAAAAGAGCUGCAGAACAAUCCGCAAAAGGACCUUGAUUUGAAAACAAUGAUUUGAUGUGUGUGUGACAAUCAAUGAAACCAGCUACAUAUGUAAAGAUGAGAUCAAUAUAUAAUAAAGAAUAAUUGACUUGCACUUCCCGUGCAGCUCAACUUUUAGAAAUCUCUAAGUCUAUCAGCAUCUGUGAAACAAACUUUCUCUGAAAAAUAUUGCGAUGUUUAUAUGCAUGUCAUCAAUUUUUCUACACAAAACAUGUGAACACCAGCACUUGGUUUGAAAAAAGAUGAAAAUAUAAAGGGAAAGAAGCAAAACCAUUCGACUUACUGCAUUAAAGUUCAGUCCAUUUAAGUACUGAAUUUCAAAAAAUGGUGUAUGCGGUGUUUAC